rnacentral:misc_RNA from 1 species
AAGUCGUAACAAGGUUUCCGUAGGUGAACCUGCGGAAGGAUCAUUAACAUUAUUCUCUUUUACUUUAUUGGGUUUUGUGUUUGUGUGUGGUUUGUUUUUAUUAACAAAUUGCACCUUUCACAACUCUCAUUCAACCCCAAAUGUGCAUUGUGUUGUGCUUUUUGAGUCAAAUCAAAAGUACUUCUUUUUCUAAUCUAUUCUAACUAAACCCCUUUUAUUACUUCUAGACUGACUUUAAACAACUUGAUUCGUACACUUCAUACUGUACGAUGACCAAUCAUAAUACAACUCUUAGCAACGGAUAUCUAGGCUCUC